UAUAACAAACUACAUUAUUAGAUUUAUUAUAUCCAAAAGGGGAAUUGCAUUUUUUAAAAAGUAUUUUAUAAGUUUUUGAUAUGAAAUAAGGUCAAAAAGUAAAAUACUACAAAUAUUUAAUACAAAUACAAAUAAUAAACUUAAUCACUAUAAAAUAUUAAAAUAAGUUAAAUUUGAAUCUUACUUACAUUAAAAUGAUCGUGGCAACAAAAAUAAUUAUAUCUUGUAGAAUCGACCAACACUUUCAAACCAUUUUUGUUGUAGUAUAUUCCAAUUUCUUGGCAUCAUAAAAAAAUCUUUAUCGGGUAUUUACUCAUGGUAUUUUUACAUCAUGGCUCAAAACACGAUUUAUAUACCAUUUUUCAAAUUAAUGAAAGUUUAAUAAUAACGCUUAUUUUAGAAUCACCGAGAGAAUAACUGUCAAAUUUACUUUGUAUCGUAUGUUCAGUUUUUAUUUUAUACGUAUGACGUCACGCAAUAUGGCGUCCUUACUGAAAUGUUUAAACUACCUACAAAAUUCAGAAAUGGAGUCGAAUUCAGUUAUUAUUAAAAUUAUUUAACUCAUUGUUUUCACAAUGCAACCCCAUUUUUUCCCAACAUAGGUGGAUUCUACUCUAAAAUGAGAGGAAUUUAUGCUUACAAUCACACCAUAUCGAAAUCAAACUAUUUUUGAAACUUUAAAAAACUAAAAUUUUUGUAGUGUCAUUACAGGUAUUUAAAUGGUCUAUGGGCUAUUAGUAAACUGGAGUAAAUCUAUACUGAAAUGUUGAAGCAAUAUUUGGCGCUCUAAAUUGUUGGUUAUUGGGAUUGAAGUUAAUACCGUAGAUUAGCUAUUCCUUUUUAUAACAUUGGUGAGUCGUGAACCUGGACUUGAGCAGAUCCAUACUACAAAUAUCAUGGACAGAAAGAAUUGUAAAUAUGGAAAAGUUUUACGCAAAACGGCAACACGAAGAGAAUUAUUGGCAACACAAAGAGAAUUAUUGACUACAAUAAAAGCCCGCAAAUUAGAGUACUUCGGUUGUGUAAUGAGGGGAUAACAAUACGAAUUCCAGAUAUUAAUUAUUAUGCAGGGAAAGAGAGGUAUAGGAUCACGAAGAAUAUCAUGGCUGCGAAACUUUAGAGAGUGGUUUAACUGCACAUCAAACCAACUUUUUAGAGCAGCUGUGAAUAAAAUAUAAAUAGUCAUGAUGGUCGCCAAUCUUGGUCCGAAGAUGGCACUUUAAAAAGAAGAAGAAGGACACCAUUAACCUAUCUAUGUAAGUUGAUUCGGAAGAAACUGUUUUGUAUUUUUCUAAAUAAUCACAAGAGCGGUCACAAAAUAAUGUUUUUCUCGGUUAAUUUUAGCAUAGUCAAAUCAAACUUUUUUAUUAAGGAAUGAUGGUAGAAUUCAAAAA